UACGUAGGGUGCAAGCGUUGUCCGGAAUUAUUGGGCGUAAAGAGCUCGUAGGCGGUCUGUCGCGUCGGAUGUGAAAAUCCAGGGCUCAACCCUGGACCUGCAUUCGAUACGGGCAGACUAGAGUUCGGUAGGGGAGACUGGAAUUCCUGGUGUAGCGGUGAAAUGCGCAGAUAUCAGGAGGAACACCGAUGGCGAAGGCAGGUCUCUGGGCCACUACUGACGCUGAGAAGCGAAAGCAUGGGGAGCGAACAGG
rnacentral:rRNA from 1 species